AGUCUGCAACUCGACUGCACGAAGACUGGAAUCGCUAGUAAUCGCGGAUCAGCACGCCGCGGUGAAUACGUUCCCGGGUCUUGUACACACCGCCCGUCACACCAUGGGAGUCGGAAAUGCCCGAAGUCUGUGACCCAACCUCAGGGAGGGAGCAGCCGAAGGCAGGUCGGAUGACUGGGGUGAAGUCGUAACAAGGUAUC
rnacentral:rRNA from 1 species